rnacentral:rRNA from 1 species
UACAGAGGGUGCGAGCGGUAAUCGGAAUUACUGGGCGUAAAGCGCGCGUAGGCGGCUUUGCAAGUCGGAUGUGAAAUCCCCAGGCUUAACCUGGGAACUGCAUUCGAGACUGCAUUGCUAGAGUAUGGGAGAGGGAAGUGGAAUUUCCGGUGUAGCGGUGAAAUGCGUAGAUAUCGGAAGGAACAUCAGUGGCGAAAGCGACUUCCUGGACCAAUACUGACGCUCAUGUGCGAAAGCGUGGGGAGCAAACAGG